rnacentral:rRNA from 1 species
AACUCGCUGUGAAGAUGCAGUGUACCCGCGGCAAGACGGAAAGACCCCGUGAACCUUUACUAUAGCUUGACACUGAACAUUGAGCCUUGAUGUGUAGGAUAGGUGGGAGGCUUUGAAGUGUGGACGCCAGUCUGCAUGGAGCCGACCUUGAAAUACCACCCUUUAAUGUUUGAUGUUCUAACGUGGACCCGUUACCCGGGUUGCGGACAGUGUCUGGUGGGUAGUUUGACUGGGGCGGUCUCCUCCUAAAGAGUAACGGAGGAGCACGAAGGUUGGCUAAUCCUGGUCGGACAUCAGGAGGUUAGUGCAAUGGCAUAAGCCAGCUUGACUGCGAGCGUGACGGCGCGAGCAGGUGCGAAAGCAGGUCAUAGUGAUCCGGUGGUUCUGAAUGGAAGGGCCAUCGCUCAACGGAUAAAAGGUACUCCGGGGAUAACAGGCUGAUACCGCCCAAGAGUUCAUAUCGACGGCGGUGUUUGGCACCUCGAUGUCGGCUCAUCACAUCCUGGGGCUGAAGUAGGUCCCAAGGGUAUGGCUGUUCGCCAUUUAAAGUGGUACGCGAGCUGGGUUUAGAACGUCGUGAGACAGUUCGGUCCCUAUCUGCCGUGGGCGCUGGAGAACUGAGGGGGGCUGCUCCUAGUACGAGAGGACCGGAGUGGACGCAUCACUGGUGUUCGGGUUGUCAUGCCAAUGGCACUGCCCGGUAGCUAAAUGCGGAAGAGAUAAGUGCUGAAAGCAUCUAAGCACGAAACUUGCCCCGAGAUGAGUUCUCCCUGAGACUUAGAGUCUCCUGAAGGAACGUUGAAGACGACGACGUUGAUAGGCCGGGUGUGUAAGCGCAGCGAUGCGUUGAGCUAACCGGUACUAAUGAACCGUGAGGCUUAACCUUACAACGCCGAAG